rnacentral:ncRNA from 1 species
GUUCUUCCCGUAAAGGGAAGCUAAGAGGGAAGCAGGUAUAAGUCCUGCGCGGUCCCGCCACUGUAAACGGAGAGUUCUUGUUAAGGCUGUGCCAUCCACUGAUAUCAUUAUCGGGAAGGAUAACAACGAACGUUGACCCGUAAGCCAGGAGACCUGCAUAGA